rnacentral:tRNA from 1 species
GUCCCGUUCGUCUAGAGGUUUAGGACACCGCCCUUUCACGGCGGUAACAGGGUUCGAAUCCCCUACGGGAUGCCA